GACGAACGCUGGCGGCGUGCUUAACACAUGCAAGUCGAACGAUGAACCGGAGCUUGCUCUGGGGAUUAGUGGCGAACGGGUGAGUAACACGUGGGCAACCUGCCCCAGACACCGGGAUAACCAUUCGAAAGGAUGGCUAAUACCGGAUACGACCACUUCGGGCAUCCGAUGGUGGUGGAAAGGAUUCUGGUCUGGGAUGGGCCCGCGGCCUAUCAGCUUGUUGGUGGGGUAAUGGCCUACCAAGGGGACGACGGGUAGCCGGCCUGGGAGGGCGACCGGCCACACGGGGACUGAGACACGGCCCAGACUCCUACGGGAGGCAGCAGUGGGGAAUAUUGCGCGAUGGGCGAAAGCCUGACGCAGCGACGCCGCGUGAGGGACGAAGGUCUUCGGAUUGUAAACCUCUUUCAGCAGGGAUGAAGCGAAAGUGACAGUACCUGCAGAAGAAGCACCGGCUAACUACGUGCCAGCCGCCGCGGUAAUAC
rnacentral:rRNA from 1 species